rnacentral:rRNA from 1 species
UACAGAGGGUGCGAGCGUUGUCCGGAAUCACUGGGCGUAAAGGGCGCGUAGGCGGCUAGAUAAGCGUGCGGUGAAAGCCCGGGGCUCAACCCCGGGUCGGCCGUGCGAACUGUCGAGCUGGAGCACUGUAGAGGCAGGUGGAAUUCCGGGUGUAGCGGUGGAAUGCGUAGAGAUCCGGAAGAACACCGGUGGCGAAGGCGGCCUGCUGGGCAGUGGCUGACGCUGAGGCGCGACAGCGUGGGGAGCAAACAGG